rnacentral:lncRNA from 1 species
UGACAUUGUGAGAGUUUAAUGGCCAUUUGUUUUACAGCAAGUUUCUGAAAGAAUUGGUCAAGUACCAGAAGCUCAGUGAUGACACAUGGCUCACGAGGAAUUGCUUUGAACGAAAACACUCCUUUUUGUUUUUGAAACAAAUUUGUGUAAACACGAGAUCUAUUCCAGUAUCUGUAAGUCACACUCUUUGACCAGAAACUUCAAAGGGCCAGCUAUGCCUUUUAGGUCAUUCUUUUUUUUUUUUUUUUUUUUUUUCCGGAGCUGGGGACCGAACCCAGGGCCUUGCGCUCGCUAGGCAAGCGCUCUACCGCUGAGCUAAAUCCCCAACCCUAGGUCAUUCUUUAACUAAGUUAAAUCACUUCCUGUGUACUUAUUGCGUGUGUGCAUGGAUGCACAGGUGUGUGCACACGUCAGAAGACAGCUUCUAGGAGUCACUUCUGGAAGUCAGGGCUUGGGGCUCGAUGAUAGGCACCUUUACCCGCUACCCCACCGUCAGUCUCAUUUCUAAGCUGUAUCCGUGUGUCUUCUAGGGCAGCAGAGUUAGACAGUGCGUUAUUGCUGCAUCUUGAGCUCCAUGUUUUUCUUAAGCCAACAGUGAGAUGUGGGUUGGUUCAGGAUUUGUAGCUCUUCAGUCCAGUCAUAAAAAUAUGAGCUUUUUCUUUCUGUGAGUCCUUCUUUAAUGAUGUGGAGUUGUCUAAAUGUUUCUCGUAGAUCCUCCUCAGAGUUUUACUGCAGUUCUUCCAAUAAAUGGAAGACCUUCAUCUCAAACAAUCAGAAAUCCACAUUGAUUUACAAAUGUUACUGCUAUUGUAAUUGUCCUGGCCUAGUUUCAAGAAAUGUUAUCUAUGACCCGAAUCACAAAAAAUCAAUGAACACACAAACUGAUGUUGCCCAUUUUCAGGAAAGAGUAAGAUGGCAGUCAAUUUUUCAAUUGUAAGGCGUGUGUCUUCAUUUGAUUAAAUAGUUCUAGAGUUGCGUUUCCGGAUUAAAAAAGCAAUCAGCUGGGGAAGGGCACUCAUUCAUUUCUGAGUUUGUCACUCUUCUGACUCGGCUGCCUAACUUGUUUUACGUAGAUAAACAUGCAUCAUCUCUAGGGCUUGAUCCAAAUCACACAGGACUGGAUGUUCACACAGUUUUGUAGGCUAAAGAGAGAUGGCCAAAGAAGCUUGGCGUUGGGGAUACUCUGUAGUUGAGAUGUAGAUGAUGAGUCUGAUGGACUCUGAUGGUAAAUCCACCUCUGGACAUAGCAAAACAGGGGCAGGAAGCUCAAGUAACCCACACGCUCAUCUGAGUCUGACUGACUUGCGUGUGGCUUAUGGAAUUCAUUUUGUUGUAUGGAGCAAGCCCCGUGCUGUGGAAAGCUUUCAACUCCUCCGGAUGUGCUGGUAAAAGGUCUUUCCUCAGCACUCAGCAGAGAAUCUUGUGGACUCAUCCACCACACGGUCAAUUCGAUGCUUCCCAAAGCACUACCACAGCAAUCUGAUUCCUUGAGUAAUCAUUCCUCAAAAGUCGGACAGCGGAGAGGUUAGCGCUGCCACUGGGCUGCCCGGCUCAGUAGGUAAUGAGUGUCACCCAGCAGGUCCUGCUACGAUCUGCUCUGUGCCUCUGGGCACAAGCUGAC